rnacentral:ncRNA from 2 species
GGCACACGCUAGGGGUCCUGUGCGCUCAGUUUCAUAUUGAGCUGCGCGGGUGAGAAAUACCCUCCGAACCUGAUCUGGAUAAUGCCAGCGAAGGGAAGCUUCAGGAUACGCAG